GGAAAACUGGAAUGCGCACCCUCCAAAUAAGGUCUUUUAGCCCCCAGAGAACCCAACACAACUAUACAUGGGUGGUAUCGCUGUACUCAGGAGAUGUUGCUGAACACAUAUUGGGGUGUUCUUUGGCAGUAACACCUUAAAGGGCCAGAUCAUUAUUACUCAUGUAGGUGUAUUACACACACGCCCAUGAUCACAUGCUUCCCUGCAGCCAAUCAGGUAGCAUCUUAGACUAUAUAAUCCUGUUUUGUCCAUUUCUCUUUGCCCUGUCGUGGUUUCCAUUGUGGUUAUCCGAGAGCGUGUUCCUUGUAUUGAUUCUUGUGUAUUUGACCGUGGCUUCCCUUUUGACUAUCCGAUCUCUGUAUUCCUUGACCUGUGGCUUGGCUCCUGACUAUUCUGAUAUCUCCAUUCCUUGACUCGUGGCUUCUUCAUCAUUUCCCUUAUUUCUACGUCUUGUCUUUAUUCC